AACGGCCGUACCAUGCUGAAUAUACCGGUUCUCGUUCGAUCACCGAAGUCAAGCAUCAUUGGGCGCGGUCAGUACUUGGGUGGGUGACCACCUGGGAACACUGCGUGCCGUU
rnacentral:rRNA from 1 species